AAGGAAGGAAGGAAGGAAGGAAGGAAGGAAGGAAGGAAGGAAGGAAACUUCUCAGGUCCCACUCCAGACCUCCCAAACCAGAACCUGCAAGAUAACAGGAGCCCCAGGGACAGCUCGACAAGUUCUGGCUGUAGCCGAACCUCUUGGUGUUCCCUGAGAUCUGAGUGUCCUUGCGUCAAUUUCAGAUCAACCUACAAUUUUCCAUGAGUUGGCAUAUUUUGGCCCCCACCAGAUUCCCAGAAAGUUCAAGGCUCAGUGUUGACGUACUUAGGAAACCAGUAUCAAUAGGCUUAUGAGAGCAGGGAUUUCUGUUUUGUCCACUGCCGUAUCUCCAGCACCUAGAACAACCGGUACCAGGCAAGGAUCCGUGUGAUCACUGGGUGCAAACUGGGCUCUUUCCAGGAAUCUGAAAACGCGGCGUCCCAUUUCCUUGCAGAAAAGAAUCCAUUUUGUGUCAUCACCAGGAUGUGUCAGGAGUGGAGUACGAUUUUCUGGGGCUAGAGCCCGAAACAAACAUCGUCCCUGGAAAUUGAGAGGGGAAAUGGCUGCCAGCAACCAAGCUGCAUUCCUUUGACAAAGGAGCAUUCCGUUGUCACUGAGGACAUCACUGCCCCUAAAGCCUCUGGAGCAGAAAGGACACUUGGGACGAUGCACAUUUAAUCCUCAAGGAGCCCAUCAUAUCCCCAUCUCUUUAAAGAGAAGGAGUACCUGAGUGGCUCAGCCGGUAAUCUCUACACCCAAUAUGGGGCUCAAACUCACAACCCAAAGACCAAAAAGAAUCACCUGGGCUUCUGACUGAGCCAGCCAGGUGCCCCCACUGUGGACAUUUUUCAAGGUGACAAAGUGACCUUGAGGCCUACAGAGGUUGGCUCCCUUGCCCCAAAUCACAUGGCCAGUAAACAGACCGUCCUCCAAAAAGGUGAUGCCAAUUUCCACUGUAGCAACAGGACCCCUUUCUUCACAUCUUCCCCAACAGAGGAUGUAAUGGUCUCUGUGCGAAGUAACAAUCAAAAGGUACCUGUCUUUGGGUUUGCUUCUUACUCCUUGAGGUUGCGUAUCUUCUGCGGUCCCCGUCACUACAACCCUGUUUCAGACCAUCGUCUGUUCCACUUGGACCAGAGCCUUGAUGGGCACCUGCUGCCGGGGUUCCCCCUUCCAGGCUCACUCUGUCUGAACAGGCUCACCCUCUCCUGAAGCCCUUUGACAAAGUUCUGGUUCCUGGAUCUGACCGUUGAGGCCCUGCCAGCCUGUCCAAGUCGGCAUUUUCCCUCUGGCCUUCCUGUCCCUUUCCCAUCAGCUUUCACAAACCACGUCCACGUACUUCCACAUGGACAUGCCAUUAUCUCUGGAAUGGCCUUUCCAUCUUUGAUAGGCCCAGAAAACUCCUACUCAUCCUUCAGAGCCCAACCAAAAUGGCCCCUCUUAAAAUCCAGGUGAAACCAAGAAUACCAAAAUGUUACCUGUGACAGAGACUCACAAGUGAUAUUUAUUUCUGUUAUAUGCCUUUUUUCUAUUUUUUCUUUUCAACGUUUUUAUUUAUUUUUGGGACAGAGAGAGACAGAGCAUGAACGGGCGAGGGGCAGAGAGAGAGGGAG